rnacentral:rRNA from 1 species
AAUCCAUAGGUUAAUGAGGCGAACCGGGGGAACUGAAACAUCUAAGUACCCCGAGGAAAAGAAAUCAACCGAGAUUCCCCCAGUAGCGGCGAGCGAACGGGGAGGAGCCCAGAGCCUGAAUCAGCAUGUGUGUUAGUGGAAGCGUCUGGAAAGGCGCGCGAUACAGGGUGACAGCCCCGUACACAAAAGCGCAUGUGCUGUGAGCUCGAUGAGUAGGGCGGGACACGUGGUAUCCUGUCUGAAUAUGGGGGGACCAUCCUCCAAGGCUAAAUACUCCUGACUGACCGAUAGUGAACCAGUACCGUGAGGGAAAGGCGAAAAGAACCCCGGCGAGGGGAGUGAAAAAGAACCUGAAACCGUGUACGUACAAGCAGUGGGAGCACCCUUUGGGUGUGACUGCGUACCUUUUGUAUAAUGGGUCAGCGACUUAUAUUCUGUAGCAAGGUUAACCGAAUAGGGGAGCCGGAGGGAAACCGAGUCUUAACCGGGCGUUAAGUUGCAGGGUAUAGACCCGAAACCCGGUGAUCUAGCCAUGGGCAGGUUGAAGGUUGGGUAACACUAACUGGAGGACCGAACCGACUAAUGUUGAAAAAUUAGCGGAUGACCUGUGGCUGGGGGUGAAAGGCCAAUCAAACCGGGAGAUAGCUGGUUCUCCCCGAAAGCUAUUUAGGUAGCGCCUCGUGAAUUCAUCUCCGGGGGUAGAGCACUGUUUCGGCUAGGGGGCCAUCCCGGCUUACCAACCCGAUGCAAACUGCGAAUACCGGAGAAUGUUAUCACGGGAGACACACGGCGGGUGCUAACGUCCGUCGUGAAGAGGGAAACAACCCAGACCGCCAGCUAAGGUCCCAAAGUCAUGGUUAAGUGGGAAACGAUGUGGGAAGGCCCAGACAGCCAGGAUGUUGGCUUAGAAGCAGCCAUCAUUUAAAGAAAGCGUAAUAGCUCACUGGUCGAGU